UACGUAGGGGGCAAGCGUUGUCCGGAUUUAUUGGGCGUAAAGAGCGUGUAGGCGGCCAUACAGGUCCGUUGUGAAAACUGGAGGCUUAACCUCCAGACGUCGAUGGAAACCGUAUGGCUAGAGUCCGGAAGAGGAGAGUGGAAAUUCCUGGUGUAGCGGUGGAAAUGCGCAGAUAUCAGGAAGAACACCCGUGGCGAAGGCGGCUCUCUGGGACGGUACUGACGCUGAGACGCGAAAGCGUGGGGAGCGAACAGG
rnacentral:rRNA from 1 species